CUGGAUGGAUAUGCUAUGCUUUAAGAGGCAAGCACUAGUAUUUUAUAGGAGUCUAUGCAUGAAGUCAAAGCCACAGAACCAAGUAUUUUGAGCAGGAACAGUGAGAUGCUGGGGAGACGCAAAUUAUGCCAGAGGUGCAGGCCUCUUCUGUCACUUUCCGAGAAUUGGCUGAGUUUCAUCCACAAAGACUCUGAUGGAGGGUCUGAAAUCCCACUUUUGAUCAGUCAAAGCAUGGCCUUUUACACAGAACAUUUCAUGAUGCCAACAGAUAGUUUCCAGAGAGGAACUGGGAAUUAAGUUGAGCUCUGGUUGCAGAUGAUUCUUUUUCAUGCCUAGCUACCCAAACAAAGAGAGCAAGCCAGAAGCCAAAUCUGCAAGUGAACAUACACAAUGGAAUUGGUGCAUGGGAAUGUACAGGGCUCUGGCUGAUUAAACUGCUGCCAGAGCGCCAAGGGGCAAUUUCUCUAAGCCUCCCUGUCUUGUAUUUUGGCAGCUCUCUCUUCCCUGCCCCCUCCGUAUCCCCUUCCCCACAUCCUCAAAUCCAUUUGCACUGUUGUUUGGAAGAAUCCCAAUUCACACAGAUUGGCAACACUGUAAUUGGUGUUUUACUUACCUCUGCCUCUUUUCUCUCUGUGUUUGAUCAUUCCGAUAAUGACAGCUUAUUUUCUCUCCCGUUACCAUUGGAAAACAAAAAGAAACUCUUGAAAAAGUUGUGGAGUUAUAUUUGAGUUUUCUGAUAUACUGCUAUGGAAAAUAAAA
rnacentral:lncRNA from 1 species